rnacentral:lncRNA from 1 species
UUAGCCAGGAUGGUCUCGAUCUCCUGACCUCAUGAUCCACUCGCCUCGGCCUCCCAAAGUGCUGGGAUUACAGGCGUGAGCCACCGCGCCCGGCCUUUAGUGGUUAUUUCUGAGAUUUUGGUGUACACAUCACCUGAGCAGUAUACACUGCAUCCAAUGUGUAGUCUUUUAUCCUUCAACCCCUCAUCCUUCCCUCCAAGUCCCCAAAGUUCAUUAUUCACAUGCUUUUGCAUCCUCAUAGCUUAGCUCCCACUUAUAAGCAAGAGCAUAUGAUGUUUCGUUUUCCAUUCCUGAGUUAACUUCACUUAGAAUAAUGGUCUCUGACUCCAUCCAGGUUGCUGCAAAUGCCAUUAUUUCAUUCCUUCUUAUGGAUGAGUAGUAUUUCAUUAUAUAUAUGUAUAUAUAUACAAUGGCAUAUAUAUACAUAUAUAUAUAUGCCACAUAUUUAUGCCACAUAUAUAUAUAUAUAUAUGCCAUAUUUCCUUUACCCACUCAUUGAUUGAUGGGCAUUUGGGCUGGUCCCAUAUUUUUGCAAUACCACUUUACUCCUGCAAAAUUGCCAUAAUUUAAAAAAUCAAAAAAGAAUAGAUGUUGGCACAGAUGUCGUGAGAAGGGAACACAUUUACACUGCUCGUGGGAAUGUAAACUUGUACAACCACUAUGGAAAACAGUACGGAGAUUCCUUAAAGAGCUAAAAGUGGAACUACCCUUUGAUCCAGCAAUCCUACUACUAGUUAUCCACCCAGAGGAAAAGAAAUCACUACAUGAAAAAGACACUUGCAUAUGAAUGUUUAUUGCAGCACAAUUUGCAAUUGCAAAAAUAGGGAACCAGCUUUAAAUAAUGCCAUUAUUUCAUUCCUUUUUAAUGGCUGAGUAGUAUCCUAUGGUAUAUAUAUAUCAUAUAUAUACAUCAUAUAUAUGAUAUAUAUAUAUAUAUAUAUAUAUAUAUAUAUAUAUAUAUAUAUAUACACACACACCACAUUUUCUUUAUCCACUCGUUGGUUGAUAGCAUCUAAUGUUCAUCAGAGAUAUUGGUGUGUAGUUUUCUUUUUUUGUUAUGCCCUUUCCUGGUUUUGGUAUUAGGGUGAUCCUGGCUUCAUAGAAUGAUUUAGGGAGGAUUCCCUCUUUCUCUAUCUUUUGAAAUAGUGUCAAUAGGAUAGGUAUCAAUUCUUCUUUGAGUGUCUGACAGAAUUCAGCUAUGAAUCCAUCUGUUCCUGGACUCUUUGGGGGCGGGGGGGAAUAUUUUAAUUACCAUUUCAAUCUCACUGCUUGUUAUUGGUCUGUUCAGGGUUUCUAUUUCUUCCUGGUUUAUUCUAGAAGGGUUGCAUAUUUCCAGGAAUUUAUCCAUCUCCUCUAGGUUUUCUAGUUUUUGCACAUAAAGGUGUCCAUAGUGGCCCUGAAUGAUCUUUUGUACUUCUGUGUUAUCAGUUGUAAUAUCUCUCAUUUCAUUCCAAAUUGAGCAUAUUUGGAUCUUCUCUCUUUUCUUGGUGAAUCUUGCUAAUGGUCUAUCAAUUUUGUUCAACUUUUCAAAGAACCAGCUUUUUGUUUCAUUUAUUUUUUGUAUUUUUUGUUUCAAUUUCAUUUAGUUCUGCUCUGAUCUUGGGGAUUUCUUUUCUUCUGCUGGGUUUGGGUUUGGUUUGUUUUUGUUUCUCCAGUUCCUUGAGGUGUGACCUUAGAUUGUCUAUUUGUGCUCUUUCAGACUUUUUGAUGUAGGUAUUUUAUGCCAUGAACUUUCUUUUUAGCACUGCUUUUUCUGUAUCGCAGGGGUUUUGAUAAGUUGUGUCACUAUUAUCAUUAGGUUGAAAGAAUUUUUAAAUUUCCAUUUUUAUUUCAUUGUUGACCGAACAAUCAUUCAGGAGCAGGUUAUUUAAUUUCUGUGUGUUUGCAUGGUUCUGAGGGCUCCUUUUGGAGUUGAUUUUCAAUUUUGUUCCACUGUGGUCUGAGACAGUGCUUGAUAUAAUGUUGAUUUAUUGAGACUUGUUUUGUUGCUUAUCAUAUGGUCUAUCUUGGAGAAUGUUCCAUGUGCUGAUGAACAGAAUGUAUAUUCUGCAGUUGUUGGGUAGAAUAUUCUGUAAAUAUUUGUUAAGUUCAGGGUAUACUUUAAGACCAUUGUUUCUUUGUUAACUUUCUAUCUUGAUGACCUGUUCAGUGCUGUCAGUGGAGUAUCGAAGUCCCCCACUAUUAUCGUGUUGCCAUUUAUCUCAUUUCUUAGGUCUAGUAGUAAUUGCUUUUAUAAAUUUGAGAGCUCCAGUAUUAGGUGCACACAGAUUUAGGACUGUGACAUUUUCCUGUUGGACUAGUCCUUUUAUUAUUAUAUAAUGUCCCUCUUUGUCUUUUUAACUGUUGUUGCUUUAAAGUCUUUUUGUCUGAUAUAAGAAUAGCUACUCCUGUGUCCAUUUGCAUGGAAUAUCUAUUCCCACCCCUUUACCUUAAGUUUAUGUGAGUCCUUAUGUGUUGGGUGAGUCUCUUGAAGACAGCAGAUACUUGGUUGGUGAAUUUUUAUUCAUUCUGCUAUUCUGUAUCUUUUAAGUGGCACAUUUAGGCCAUUUACAUUCAAUGUGGGUAUUGAGAUGUGAGGUACUAUGCUAUUCAUCAUGCUGGUUUUCUAGAAUGCUGGUUAUGCUAGCAGUGAAGUUGCCACGUGGACAGACUCAGGACCUCUGGUUAGCCAGGGUGUUGCAAGUGGUAGAAUUAUCUGUUGUUUUCUCCUUCUUUGGUGCAGGAUUGUUCUGUUAUGACUUUGUGUAAUGGCUUGAGUUCAUUGGCCUCCAACCAGGAGGUGGAACUUUCAAGACAGCACCAGCUGCUGUAGCGCCCUACAGUGGCCAGGAUAAGUACUCUGGUUUCUCAGGCUAUGGGUGGGGCCAUAGAGCUCCCAAGAGUUUGUGUCUUUUGUCUUUAGCUACCAGCGGUGGGGAGAAUAAAAACAAUCAGGUGGGGGCAGGGUUAGGCAUGUCUGAGCUCAGACUUUCCUUGGGUGGGGCUUGCUGUGACCACUGUGGGCGACAGGUUUGCGGGUGGGGGGAGGGUCGUUCUCAGACCAACGGUGUUAUGUUCCCAGGGGAAUUAUGGCUACUUCUGCUGCAUCAUACAGAUAGCCAGGAAAGUGGGGGAAAGCCAGGAGUGACAGGCCUCACCCAGCUCCCACACAGUCAGCAAGGCCAGUCUCACUCCCACUGUGCCCCCACAACAGCACUGAGUUUAUAUUCAGGCAUCCAGUGAGCAAGGCUGAGAUCUUGCCCCAGGCUAUAAGCCUCCCUGCUGAGAAAGCAAGCAGGGCUCUCGGGCCUGGCUGGGCCCUCCCCAUCUGCCCACACCUUUGGCUGUUGCUUCUGCGCUAGUACCUACAUUUCCUGUUCAACCCCCUAACCAACCCCCACCCUGGCCCCUUCCGAUUCUGCUCAGGAAAAUUCAUGCUCAAAGUUAUUACAAAAUUCAGCUAGGAGCUUCCUUCACUCUGUGGCCCCUCCCCUAUUUUAUUACCUUUAAUAACAUUAUAGAAAGCAUUCUUAUUGGGCUGAUGUUUCGACAAAAGGGAGAGAAUAAGAAAUAAUCCAUUAACUUCAUAUUGUGUUUCCUUCUUCAUAUUUUUGAGAUUCGGAAGAACAACUAUACUUGAGCCAAAUAUUAACAAGAACCAAUUAAUGAACUAUUUUACAUAAGUGAGUUCAAUUUAGGCACUAAAAAGCAUCAUUAUUCAAUAGGUGAUUUAAGUGUUUUCCUCCCUCUCUCAAACUAAAACACAUACCGACACACAUACAUCCUACCUUUACGAAAGACAAAAACCAAAAUAAAUACAGUUCUUUUUAAUUAAAAUGAUUUUUAAAAAUGAUUCAGUUCGGCCGGGCGCGGUGGCUCACGCCUGUAAUCCCAGCACUUUGGGAGGCCGAGGCGGGCGGAUCACGAGGUCUGGAGUUCGGGACCAGCCUGGCCAACAUGGUGAAACCCUGUCUCUACCAAAAAUACAAAAAAUUAGCCGGGCUUGGUGGCUCUUGCCUGUAGUCCCAGGUACUUGGAAGGCUGAGGCAGGAGAAUCGCUUCAGCCUGGGAAGCAGAGGUUGCAGUAAGCCAAGACGGCACCACUGCACUCCAGCUUGGUCAACAGAACAAGACUCUGACUCAAAAAAAAAAAAAAAAAAAGAGUUGUUCAACUAAUUAGUACUUUACAGGCACUGCAUAAUGACAUUUCAGUCAAUGAUGAAACACAUUUCCAACAGUGAUUCCAUAAGAUUAUAAUACUUUUAUAAUGUAUCUUUUCUGUGUUUAGAUACAUCUAGAUACACAAAUACCAUUGUGUUACAACUGCCUACAGUAUUCAGUGCAGUGACAUGCUCUACAGAUUUAUAGCCUAGGAGUAAUAGGCUAUACCAUAUAGUCUAGGUGUGUAGUAGGCUAUAACCACCCAGAGAUUUAUAUAAGUACACUCUAUUAUGUUUGCACAACGACAACAUCACCUUUCUCAGAAUGUAUCUCUGUCAUUAGGCAAUGCAUGACUGUCCUAGAAAGAGUCUCAACAUAAAUUUAAGACACUAUUAUUAUGGAAAAGAUCAUUUGUAUGCUAAAUGACUAGAAAAAAACUUAAAAACUAUUCAGAACACUAGAACUCUUUA